rnacentral:lncRNA from 1 species
GUCAUCUGAUAAAGUCAUGCCGAUUAUAAGAUACAAAUUGAAAACUGUACCUAUACGCCUUAUUUUAGUCCAGAUUUUUAGUAUUCGUAUUGUUAUCUUAGAAAGUUUUACUGAUUAAAAUGCUACAAUAGGUAACAAUUUGACAAUCUAGUAGUGUCAACCCUGUGAAUAUGACCCGUGUAUAUAGCAUAUUAAUCCUGAAUACACCGUUUGGUGGUGCGCCUGUCAGAUGCGGAACGUACCAAUAAGGUAAUAGGUAACAGGUGAAUAUACUAUUGGUAUCGGUAUCGGACUCAACCCGAAACUUCUUAAUUCUUGGCAAUAUUAAUUACGUGGAAAACAAAAGGGCCUGGAGUGGUGUAAUUUUUAAUCUACACCUUUGUACUAUAUUAGUUAUAUAUAAAGUUGAAUUCUUUGAUUCGUCGUUUUUACGUGAUGACGGCUG